rnacentral:rRNA from 1 species
AGUGAACGCUGGCGGUAGGCCUAACACAUGCAAGUCGAACGGCAGCACAGGAGAGCUUGCUCUCUGGGUGGCGAGUGGCGGACGGGUGAGGAAUACAUCGGAAUCUACUUUUUCGUGGGGGAUAACGUAGGGAAACUUACGCUAAUACCGCAUACGACCUACGGGUGAAAGCAGGGGAUCUUCGGACCUUGCGCGAUUGAAUGAGCAGAUGUCGGAUUAGCUAGUUGGCGGGGUAAAGGCUCACCAAGGCGACGAUCCGUAGCUGGUCGUAGGGGAUGAUCAGCCACACUGGAACUGAGACACGGUCCAAACUCCUACGGGAGGCAGCAGUGGGGAAUAUUGGACAAUGGGCGCAAGCCUGAUCCAGCCAUACCGCGUGGGUGAAGAAGGCCUUCGGGUUGUAAAGCCCUUUUGUUGGGAAAGAAAUCCAGCUGGUUAAUACCCGGUUGGGAUGACGGUACCCAAAGAAUAAGCACCGGCUAACUUCGUGCCAGCCGCCGCCGUAA